rfam:Salmo salar isolate Sally breed double haploid chromosome ssa01, whole genome shotgun sequence.
UAGCUCAGUUGGUAGAGCAUAGUGUUUGCAACGCCAGGGUUGUGGGUUCGAUUCCCAC